UACGUAGGGCGCAAGCGUUAUCCGGAAUUAUUGGGCGUAAAGAGCUCGUAGGCGGUUUGUCGCGUCUGCCGUGAAAGUCCGGGGCUCAACUCCGGAUCUGCGGUGGGUACGGGCAGACUAGAGUGAUGUAGGGGAGACUGGAAUUCCUGGUGUAGCGGUGAAAUGCGCAGAUAUCAGGAGGAACACCGAUGGCGAAGGCAGGUCUCUGAGCCACUACUGACGCUGAGAAGCGAAAGCAUGGGGAGCGAACAGG
rnacentral:rRNA from 1 species